rnacentral:rRNA from 1 species
UACGGAGGGUGCAAGCGUUAUCCGGAUUCACUGGGUUUAAAGGGCGCGUAGGCGGCACCGCAAGUCGACUGUGAAAUCUCCGGGCUUAACCCGGAAAGGUCAGCCGAUACUGCGGGGCUAGAGUGCAGAAGGGGCAACUGGAAUUCUCGGUGUAGCGGUGAAAUGCGUAGAUAUCGAGAGGAACACCUGCGGCGAAGGCGGGUUGCUGGGCUGACACUGACGCUGAGGCGCGAAAGCGUGGGGAGCGAACAGG